AAACUUUCAACAACGGAUCUCUUGGCUCUGGCAUCGAUGAAGAACGCAGCGAAACGCGAUAAGUAAUGUGAAUUGCAGAAUUUAGUGAAUCAUCGAAUCUUUGAACGCACAUUGCGCCCCUUGGUAUUCCGAGGGGCAUGCCUGUUCGAGCGUC
rnacentral:rRNA from 1 species